CCAAGGGUUGGGCUGUUCGCCCAUUAAAGUGGCACGCGAGCUGGGUUCAGAACGUCGCAAGACAGUUCGGUCUCUAUCUGUUGCGGGCGUAGGAAUAUUGCGGAGGUCUGACACUAGUACGAGAGGACCGUGUUGGACGAACCUCUAGUGUAUCUGUUGUGGCGCCAGCUGCAUCGCAGAGUAGCUAUGUUCGGUUAGGAUAAGCGCUGAAAGCAUCUAAGCGCGAAGCCAGCUCCAAGAUGAGUAUUCCAUUCCCAUUAGGGAAGAAGGGUUGUGGAAGAUGACCACGUUGAUA
rnacentral:rRNA from 18 species